GACGAACGCUGGUGGAAUGCUUUACACAUGCAAGUCGAACGGCAGCACGGACUUCGGUCUGGUGGCGAGUGGCGAACGGGUGAGUAAUACAUCGGAACGUGCCCAGUCGUGGGGGAUAACGUAGCGAAAGCUACGCUAAUACCGCAUACGAUCUAAGGAUGAAAGCGGGGGAUCGCAAGACCUCGCGCGAUUGGAGCGGCCGAUGGCAGAUUAGGUAGUUGGUGGGGUAAAGGCCUACCAAGCCGACGAUCUGUAGCUGGUCUGAGAGGACGAGCAGCCACACUGGGACUGAGAAACGGCCCAGACUCCUACGGGAGGCAGCAGUGGGGAAUUUUGGACAAUGGGCGCAAGCCUGAUCCAGCCAUUCCGCGUGCAGGAUGAAGGCCCUCGGGUUGUAAACUGCUUUUGUACGGAACGAAAAGGCUCUGGUUAAUACCCGGGGCUCAUGACGGUACCGUAAGAAUAAGCACCGGCUAACUACGUGCCAGCCGCCGCCGUAA
rnacentral:rRNA from 1 species